UGUGGUGUUUUAACGUUGUCUCUCUGUUCCAGGUGUGUAUGUUGUAUUAACGUUGUCUCUCUGUUCCAGGUGUGUAUGUUGUUUUAACGUUGUCUCUCUGUUCCAGGUGUGUAUGUUGUUUUAACGUUGUCUCUCUGUUCCAGGUGUGUAUGUUGUUUUAACGUUGUCUCUCUGUUCCAGGUGUGUAUGUUGUUUUAACGUUGUCUCUCUGUUCCAGGUGUGUAUGUUGUUUUAACGUUGUCUCUCUGUUCCAGGUGUGUAUGUUGUAUUAACGUUGUCUCUCUGUUCCAGGUGUGUAUGUUGUUUUAACGUUGUCUCUCUGUUCCAGGUGUGUAUGUUGUAUUAACGUUGUCUCUCUGUUCCAGGUGUGUAUGUUGUUUUAACGUUGUCUCUCUGUUCCAGGUGUGUAUGUUGUUUUAACGUUGUCUCUCUGUUCCAGGUGUGUAUGUUGUUUUAACGUUGUCUCUCUGUUCCAGGUGUGUAUGUUGUAUUAACGUUGUCUCUCUGUUCCAGGUGUGUAUGUUGUUUUAACGUUGUCUCUCUGUUCCAGGUGUGUAUGUUGUUUUAACGUUGUCUCUCUGUUCCAGGUGUGUAUGUUGUAUUAACGUUGUCUCUCUGUUGUAUUAACGUUGUCUCUCUGUUCCAGGUGUGUAUGUUGUAUUAACGUUGUCUCUCUGUUGUAUUAACGUUGUCUCUCUGUUCCAGGUGCGUGGUGUGUAUGUGUGACUUUGAGUCUCGUCAGCUGCUAAGAGUCCUGCCCUGUAACCAUGAGUUCCACACCAAGUGUGUUGACAAGUGGCUGAAGGCUAACAGAACGUGUCCCAUCUGUCGGGCGGACGCCUCCGAGGUCCAUCGGGAUUCUGAAUGACCUAUGACCUCGAGCCCCACAGAUCUAGGAUCCGCUCAGCCUCCCCACAUCCUAACCUGACGCAUUAGGGAGGGGGGGAGGGGAAACACAACAGGCCUUAGAUCAGUGUCUUGGAGCAAUGCCCCCCUCUCCUCCCCUCCACCAAGUGAACUCUUUAAGAAAUAGACUCUGUAUUCUUCCUAUGAUGAUGGUAUUCUAAUAAUGGCCUUUUGACUGACACACACACACACACACACACACACACACACACACACACACACACACACACACACACACACACACACACACACACACACGAGGGGCAGUUGGACUUUUCCCCCUUUUGUACGGUCUUACCCUUCCUGAGUCAUGAUUGGAGUUGUCAUAUGAACGCUGUGGAGACACUCAGACGUGUGUCGUUGUCCUGACGAACCCAGUGGAGGAAAUGGAAGCCCAAAGAUUCUGACCAUUAUGACAUCAUCAUCAUCGUCGUCGUCAUCAUUGUUGUUGUUAAUAUGAAUAUUCUGGUCGUGAUGAAUCAGUCAGAACCUGGAUUGAGAUGUGUCUUCACUCUAGUGGGGUUAUUUUGGUUUAUAAAGGUGCUUUUUCUUCAUUUAAAAAAUGUUUUUAAAGUGUGUGUGCUGUUGCACUCCUACAAAACACAUCUACAAUGUGUGUCCAUCUGAAACGGAGAGAGAACGGAGGACAAUACAAUCUUUACAUUGUUGCUAGUGUUGGUUUAUGAUCUGGGUAGAGGAAGGUGUGCAGAAAUAUAGCGUUGUCAGUAAUGGGGAAAGUGUGUUUGUGUUUAGAACACCAAUGUGUAUUAUUUAUGCAGUGCAGUACACUGGAAUGCUGCUCACACUGCCCUUUGCGCUCUGAUUGGUCAAUGCUGUGCACUGAGACAGGAAGGGGAGGGGCUUCCGGGGAGGAGAAGGGCAACAGAACCAGGGUAGUUGAGGAAGGGGAGGGCCUUCUCUCUAUCACCUUUCUCUCUUCUUUUUCCCACUCCAUCCCCCUCCUCUCUCUCUCUCUCUCUACUUUUCUGUUCACUCACUCCAUGUUUCAGAGAGAUGGAUCAGCCUCAUUUAUCUUGGCUUACUCUCUCUCUCUCUCACACUGAAUGCACCCCCCCACACAGCACAGGAGUGUGCGUGCGCUGAUAUGAAUCGAUGCUAAACGUCUGACAUUUGUUUUAUUGGUCAGUUACUUAGGAAGAAAUAUGAUAGUGGUCAAAUCCAAAUGAAAUCAUCUCUCAUCUAUCGACCAAAAGUAAUGAACCAUCUGGAGAAUAAAGGGUGUCGUUUUGAGAUACAACCAACGUUGUUCACUGGUUGUUCAGAUCACAUUGAGAAGGUGAGAUUAUCUGAAGUUUAGUUUUAAGGCACUUAAUAAUGAUGAUGAUGAUGAUGAUGAUUGUAGUGUGGUAGCAUCACAGUUGGGGUUUAACUCCUUGGUAAAAAAAAAAAAAAAAGGACAUGUCGACUUUUGAGUGUCGACUGAGUGAGAAGAUCAGUGCCUGGUUUCACUCAUUCCUUCACAACCACAAUGACUCUUCUGUUCAGUCUCCAUUCAGCCCCUCUUCCUCCUGUAGGAUGCUUCUCACCCCCAUCCCCCUUUCUCUCGGUCCCUUCUUCAUCCCCUCUUCCUCCUGUAGGAUGCUUCUCACCCAUUUACAUUACAUUUUACAUUUCCUCCCCCUUUCUCUCGGUCCCUUCAUCCCCUCUUCCUCCUGUAGGAUGCUUCUCACCCCUCCCCUUUCUCUCGGUCCCUUCUUCAUCCCCUCUUCCUUCUGUAGGAUGCUUCUCACCCCCUUCCCCCUUUCUCUUGGUCCCUUCAUCCCCUCUCCCUGUUUUCCACUGUGUCCUCUCUCUACCCAGUGUCAUUAGAAGUAGUCCUUAACGGCUGUCAUAAGCCCUACAUAAGGCUGUCUUAACAUGCACAAUGUCACCCUAUGUCAAGUUCAUGUCCUGGCUUCCUACUGUCCUUCACCCACACGGUGUCACGAUUUGCGUUCUAUGUCAGGCUCACAGCACCCUUAAGUAGGCCUUACGACAGUCUUAUGUAGGCCUUACGACAGUCUUAUGUAGGCCUUACGACAGCUAGUAGGAGGGGAAGUUGUAUUAAACCAUGUCAGCCAGGCCCCUGCAGUGUCCUAAUAUGUAAGAGAUGCCUUUUUAAAACCCAGAUUUACCCUCCAUAAAGCCAUGUCACCAGUAGGUAUGUUAAUGACCUUUAGAUCAGCGUUUAGCUGGGACAAGGUCUUCACCCUACAUGUUGAAAAUAAACCAUUCUCUCCAGUGUCCAAUGUUUUUAAAGGCUCCAAAAAAAAAUAAGAGUUCUUGGCCGUAGCCAUGGCAACAGGGUUUGAAAAAGCUUCCGUUCUCCUGUUUUGUUUGUUUUUGUUUCCUGGUUUUAAAGGUGUUAUACUGUCGUCAUGGCGUCCAUUGUGUCGUAGGAUUCUAAUUAUUGUUAUUGUUUCUCCUGCUUGGUACACGACUAGCAGUUACCUCAUUGUCUCUUGAUGUAUAUUCAGAUACAAAUAUAGGACAUUCUGAAUUCAGCUUUUCAUAUUGUCUAUUUUUUUCCUCUUACCAUUUGUCGUUGGGUUGUUUAAAAGAAAGUUAUCAUUUAUUAAUAACAUGACGUUGGUAUCUUUCUUCUCCAUAAUGUAUCAUAUCUGUAACCAAAAUCAUUUUGAAGGCUUGAUAUUGCAAAUUUUUAACAAACAUUUGUACAUUUUUAAUGAGAGUUAUUAAUAGUGAGGCGUUACUAAGUGGUGAAAUGAAUUGUUAUUUUUAAUCCCCAGUCUUUCUGGAUUUCAAAGGCUGCUUCUAUAAUAAAUGUAGAAUUGCCAAA